UUCCGCUGACCGGUAAGAUCAAGCGAGCAAUCAAUGUCCUCAAUCACGAUAAUAGACUUACUAGGCGUGUCAAUAAGUAGCUUCCUCAGCUCCGUGUUAUCCUUCACCGUCGUUAAUUCGAGAUCAUAGACGUCGUAGUUCAUGAGGUUCGACAUGGCAGCAAUCAUGGUAGACUUUCCAGUGCCUGGUGGCCCAUAAAGGAGAUAGCCGCGCUUCCAAGCCUUGCCGAUUUUCGCAUAAUACUCUUUCCCCUUGCUGAACUUGAUGAGGUCAUUGACAAUCUCUUCCUUCUUUUUGGGGUGCAAGGCCAAGGUCUCAAAUGUUGCCGGGUGCUCAAAGACUACAUGGCUCCACAUUGUCCCUCUGUAUGUGUACCAAUUCUGGGAAGGAUUGUUCACGUUAAGCUUUCGUUGUCUGUUGCCAACUGUUAUUGCUUUCCCCUCUUUGAUCACGUGAGCAAGAUAAGCCCCUGUGACGACAUUUCGAUGGCGUCUGUGGAAGGUGAGCUUAUAAUGCUGCUUCUCAUCAGACUGAGGGUAGAAAGAAAAUGAAGUCUGUCGAGUCUCUCUUUUCACCAACACCCACGAGACUUUAAUGCCUUGAAAUUCAUCAGUCACUUCUUCAUGGUCGUCUAUGGCAAGGACCACAGACUUGCUGUCUUUGACAUCAUGAGCUUUUAGACGUCUCGCAUUUGUCGAAGACUUGGUGCUGAGGUAGCUUUGGAUGGCAGAAUAGACUUCGCUGCGUCGGCGAAACUCGUUGGUGUUCUCAUCAAAGAUGAUUUGGAUGUAAGGGUAGAAAAGUUUCACUAAUUUGUGGCGAUAUUUAUCGACAUAGUAGCGAAAUUGAGGGGGAAGGUAUUGUCGAAAAAUAGUGUACACAAACAUGACACUGGCAAUGACUGAGCCCAGUUGAGCCCCCAUUUCCCCUAUCCUCAUUAUCAUCUUCCUCUGCAGUCUCUCUCUUCUUUUGGAAAUUAACUGUUGAAGGUUAGGGUUGUUCUUACGAAGACGAAAGACAAGGUUUGGUUUAUAUAGAAGAGACUCAGCUUGGAAAUUUAGUUAUGUUAUGACCCACCCAAUUUCCCAGUGUUUUAAAAAAAACUAUAUUUCAUUGACUAAAAGAAACCAAGAGGAAGCUUGCUUAAUUGAUCGUUCGAAGCCCACCAAAUUUGACAAACAUCAGGUCACUGUCUUGACUAACGAUGGAAAAGCAUAACCCUUCCCCCUUUCCGGGUUAAUAAUAUGCAGAGCGCAGCCCUUCCCACUUGGCUGGUGAAUGUGCAGAGCAAUUACGCCAAAUAUAGACAAAGGAAAAAGAAUCUCGUAUUACAUGUCUAGCUACCAAAUCUGUGUAAGUUUCUAACGUAUUGGCAACUUCUGAUUGGAAAAAAUGGUUUCCAAGAUUUUGGGUUUGGCAUGUCAUUCAACUUGUAAUGCCAGCUGAAAUCAUAGAAGGCCAACAUGGAAAGAUGACGAUUCGUCGCAUGGUUUCUUUUUUGUUUGAUUCUGUUGACUAGCUGGUCCUGGUCCAGGGUGCUCCCAAAGAGAGGAGAUUAGGUCAUGCCAAAUAAAAUUGGGUUAUUUACUGAAGUGGUCUUCAAAUUUAUACCCGAGUUGCAUUUUGGUCCAUCAACUAAAUUAUUUGUUCAAAUGGUCCACCAACUCUUUAUUAAUCCGCGCAUUGGUCUUACCAUUACAUUCUUCAAUGUUGCCAUCAAAUAUACGGGUAAAACAAUCCAAUUCAAUAAAAUAGUAAAUAAAUUAAAAACUGAAAAAUAAAACAAUAAAAAAAAAAAACCUCUAUCCCUCUCCCACCUUCUUCUUCUUCAACAUUUUUUUCUGCUUGAACUGGUGCAUUUGGACAUCAUGGAUAGAUUGGGUUCGCCUAGAUGGGGUGCUGGGUAACAGAAACUGUAAGGGUAGGACCAACGCACCGAUUAAUAAAGAGUUUGUGGACCAUUUAAACGGAUUGAGAGACCAAAAUACAACUCGGGUAUAAAUUUAAGGACCACUUCAGUAAAUAACCCAAUUAAAAAUGUUAUGUGUGCUACUAAACUCCCCGAAAAAACUUCAAUAAGUAAGGAUGAUAAUUGAUAAAGCACAUACAAAAAUUGUCCACGAAACGAUCUACUAGUUAAAGUUGUUAAUGACAUAAAGUAAUGAACAUAUAAUUGACAUCUUGAGUAUGACACAAAGACUAACGUCACAUAUCUUCAAGAGGUUGUUUGUACCAUAACUGACCGAGCAACUAGCUAGGCUAGAUCAUUCGAGUGCCAUGCUUUGAGAGGUCAUCACCUUAGCCAAAGAAGCAUCACCACAAAUCACAACUCUAAGCAAAGCAAGAGGAGUCCCACAUCGAAAAACUACAAGAGAUGGAGACUCCCCCUCACCUAUAAAAGAAGACUACUCUCCUAUGAGAAAGGGACUCUCUCUUCUGGAUCCAUCUCUAUCCUAGGCUUCUCACUUGUUAUCUUUAUAUUUGGGUCUAAUCCUCUUGUACAAAUGUAAACAAACAUUAUCAUAAUGAGAACACUAUUCUCCGUGGACGUAGCCCAUCGUUCGGGUGAACCACGUAUAUCUUGUCUUCUAUAUGUUUAUCACUUACCCAAAUCCUCACACACUUGGUGAAGGUCCUCACCUUCAUCCAUCAUCUAUCACACCUCAUCACUAAGUUGGACUCAACCUUGGCCUAACUAUUUUGAGCAUCAACAGUUUGGCGCCGUCCGUGGGAAUCGACACAAGAAGCUUCUGUCGUUCUUCCCUUCCUCUAGUGCCCUUCGGCACCCUUUCAAUCAUCACCUUGUAACUUACCAUUUAGCACCAUCUGUGCCGAAGACACCCUGGGGUUUGAAGGCACCAAUAUGUCGAAGUCAUCUAUUUGCUGAAGCAACUCACCUUUCGGUCACUUUGAGUAGUUUCAAUUUGAAGGUCGCCAAAUAUUCCAAUUCACCAAAAAGCAUCACUUUGCAUGGCCAAGGGGACAACCCACCAAUUCAAUCCAAAGGGAAAGCCACGUGAUUCACCUCCAAGAGAAGUGCAAUAUUUCUUAUCUUCCUAUUAUUAUUUAAUUCUUAGGAGAUGCAUAUUUUAUUAAUAUAUUGGCAUACCCACGUGACUUCUACAUAUAUGGUUCGGCACCAUGCUUUCCAAAGGAUAAAAUUCCUCUUCAUAUCUCAUAUUAUUUUAGCAUAUUUUACAAUCGGUGAAUAACCAAAUACCCAUCUUGUGAGUGCAGACCCAACUCAUAAGAACGCCCACUCUGGGUAAUUGGCAAGCUAAACAUGAUAAGGUGCCCAUACACUCAAGACCAGCCUCUGUACGCCACACUGUAGCAUCUUCUCUCCAAUACGAAGUCAAACUCAAAAUUGGUGUGGGGCACUUGGACAAUCCUACCGUGGCAGACUUACUGGAUCAACAAGCAAACAGGUUUCCAUACCUCCUGAACGACAAGCUCAAGACAAGGGGACUUGAAUGUUAAAAAACUCUCUCUGCCGCAACCUCUCAAAGCACCCAAAACUUAUUGAUGGCUUACCAAUCGGCAGGACAAUUGCAGAACGUGAAUGAGCUCAUCGCAUGGAUGCUUCCGAAUCGGGGCUCGAGCUCUGAAGUUUUGUGCCAAAUCACCAAAGGUCUUGACGGAAAUCAAUGAGCCCAGCUCCACCGACCCUUCCCAAGCUAAUUACUCAUGCGCAAGGCCCGAUAACUUUCAAAACAAGAUCAAGCCGUGACCCACACAGCCCGGCUUCCAAAUCUGCAAACACCCCCGGGAUCAGCCCACUUGCCGAAGACAAAAAAAGUAGCGCAUAAAGGAAUUUCAAAAGGCCUUGCCGAACGGCAAGGCCCAUGCGGAAGAUGAUGAAGGCUUCGAAAACUACACACCUCAGCCCCAGCCAAGGUCACCGGAGUCCAGCUCCAGUUCACAUCGACUUUCUCCUUCCAAGACCAUGAUUCAAAGCCUUGCCGAAUCUGCAGAUCACCAGCAGCCAAAUCUUGCCAAAACCACCACAGCUCACCUUCUAAAACAUCUUGGACUCAGCUCCAACUCCUGCCCAAGCCCACGUAACGCCAAAAAAGAGCACCCAGCCACUAAACUUAUCAAGACACCCAAUGAGAAGGAAAGUGUCAACUACUUCAGAGAGUUAUAAACUUGACUGUCAAAAUCCAUGCUCAAACAAAGGAACAGCACCUCAGCUACAAAAAACAUAAAAGCUUCAGCAGCUUCAAAUUCAACGGCACUCAAGGGCUGCACCAAGUUCCUCGACAAGUGUGGCCUCCUUAAACAGCCCUUCAGCAAGCAAGGGUGCUGAAAGUGGUCAACCCCGUUCCGACACCACAGUACUGAACCCAACACCCUUGCCGAACGGCAAGGGCCGUGCUGAAUUUAUGAAGGCCUCUCGACUUCCUCAGCUCCAAAAAUCCCGCAGAAGGUCUAAAUGCCGAACUGCAAAAGCUGUUCAACCCGAAAGUCUCGCGGAAGGCAAAUGCACGAAAAGAAAAAGUCACAAAACUCCAAAUCCUGCCGAACGACAAAAUCCAGCUCCCAGCCUCACUCCUUGCCAAAGCCAAGGUUUAUGAAGAGGCCUCAAAAACUUUCCAAAUAACUCUUGCCGAACGGCAAGGGCUGUGGAGCACAAAAUCUGCUUCAAACCUUCUCUGCCGAAGACAGAAGCCCUUCUCGAGAAUGAUCUUUUUUCAGCACUGCCUUGCCAAAGGUCCAAACUCAAAUAUAAUCUGUCUUCAAAAAUCCCAGCUCCAAGAAGCCCUCUUUCACGAAAAACCCACCCUUGCCAAAUGGCAAGGGCUGAGCAAAGGCAAUUGGCAGAUCUUGAAAAGUCUUACCGAAUAUACCUUGAACCCAGGUCGUGCUACCGAAGCCUAUCUUUCCAACAACGAAACUCCUUCCCAGCCAACCUUGCCGAACGGCAGGGUUCGUGCUGAAGUGUUCUAAGGUAUCGCCAAAAGUCCAGCCUAUUUGAUGAGGGCCAAGACCAAGGAAGCUCGCAAGAUAGCCUUACCGACCUCACAAGCUCACAACAUCAUGGUGCCGAAGUUGGGGAACCUCACGAAAUCACCCUUGCCGAAGCUUCCUUGCCGAAACUUUGACGAAAAGAUACUUAUGUCAACACUUGCCAAAGCCCCUAGCUGAAGAGUGCCCAGACCAACUUGCUGAAGAUACCACAGGCUCCACAAAAACUUUCAAUCAACCCUUGCCGUUCGGCAAGGGUUGUGCAGACAAUAGAAGGCCCAGCUCCAACUAAGGCUCGGCUCUAAAACAAACUCCUAAGGCCAAGCUCCGUACACAAGCUUGGAGGCCCACGAAGUUGCGCCAGGCCUCCUUUUUACCAAAGGCCCAAACCCAACCUCCUUCCAAGAAAGAUCUUGCUGAACACACAAAAAAAAAAAAAAAAAAAAAAAAAAAAAAAAGCCUUGCCGAACGGCAGGCAUUGUGCAAAAGGAAUAAAGGGACUCGUAAAGUCAUCCCCAAGACACCCUUGUCGAAGCUUUAAGGCCCUAGCCCAAGGUACUUAGGCCCUAGAGAAAAUCAUUCCCACUGGACCAUGCCGAACGGUAAGGCCCAUGCUCAGGCCAUGGCUUACAUCACGGCAAAUUUCUCUUGCCUAACCCCUUGCAGCCCAACUCCACAGAGCACAAACCCCAGGCCUUUGCCAAAGCCCAGCUCAUGAGGCCCACCUACCAAGAACUUGGAAACUUGCAGGAUCAAACCCUUCAAGUUCUUGUCGAAGCCUUGAAGGCCCAACUCCAAGGACCAGCCCUUGUCAAAGCCCAACUUGCGCAGUCUUGGCCCCCCCUUGCCGAACGGCAAUGGUCAUGUACAUGGCCCACCUGCCAAGCGCUCACUACUUGCCUCAACUCUCCAUACCUGGGUUCACGCAAGUUCAAGCGACCCAGCCUCCUUGCCAAAAACCCAAACUUUGGCCACCAUGGUCCCAGCCUCUUGCUAUAUGCUAAGCCAACUAAUGCAUGGUACCUUUGCCGAACAACAAGGGAUUCGCUCAGGCAAAGUGAUGUGCUAAUGGGUCUCUCUCAUUGCCGAAGCCAAGACCAGGCCCAGCCCCACGUGGCCCAGCGCAUCCCACUUGCCGAAACAUCGGGCCACAGCCACAAGGUACCUAACAAAAAAAAAAGCUAUUAUUAUUAUUAUUUCUUCAAAUAAUAAUAAAAAAAUGCAUUCUUGCAUUUUUCCCUUCAGCACCCUUGUGCCUUAGGCAUCCCCUUUGCCUUCGGCUUUGGCAUCCCCGUGCCUAGCCACAUCGCCUUGCGAUGUGCAAGCUUUGUAUCACCUUCGGCACCCUUGUGCCCCAUUGUCUUGCGACAUGUAAUUCUUAGGCCUUCGGCACCCCCGUGCCCAAGCCACAUUGCCUUGCGACAUGCACGCUUUGUGUCGCCUUCGGCACCCUCAUGUCUAGGCACAUCGCCUUGCGACAUGCAAGCUUUGUGUCACCUUCGGCAUCUCUUUUGCCUUUAACACCUCCGUGCCUAGCUGCAUUGCCUUGCAAACAUGCAAGCUUUGUGUCACCUUCGGCAUCCCAUUUGCCUUCAGCACCUCCGUGUCUAGCUGCAUUGCCUUGCAAACAUGCAAGCUUUGGGUCUCCUUCGACACCCUCGUGCCUAGGCGCAUCGCCUUGCGACAUGCAAGCUUUGUGCCUUUGACAUCCCCUUUGCCUUCGGUACCCCCAUGCCUAGCUGCAUUGCCUUGCAAACAUGCAAGCUUUGUGUCGCCUUCGACACCCUCGUGCCUAGCCACAUUACCUUGCAAAAUACUAGCUUUGUGUUGCCUUUGGCACCCCCUUGCCUAACCACACCUUGUGUCGCCUUCGGCACCCCAGUGCUUGGCCACAUCGCCUUGCGACACACAAGCUUUGUGCCUUCGGCAUUCCUCUGCCCUCGGCACCUCCGUGCCUAGUUACAUCGUCUUGCGACAUGCAAGCUUUGUGCCUUCGGCACCCCCGUGCCUAGCCACAUUGCUUUGCGACACGCAAGCUCUGUGUUAUCUUCGGCACCCUCAUGCCUAGCCACAUCGCCUUGCGACAUGUAAGCUUUGUGCCUUCGGCACCCCUUUACCUAGCCAGAUCGCCUGGCAACAUACAAGCUUUGUGCCUUCGGCAUCCCUUUGCCUUCGGCAUCCCUUUGCCUUCGGCACCCCCGUGCCUAGCCACAUCGUCUUGCAACAUGCAAGCUUUAUGUCUUCGGCACCCUCGUGCCUAGCCACAUUACCUUGCAACAUACUAGCUUCGUGUUGCUUUCGGCACCCCCGUACCUAGCCACACCUUGUGUCACCUUCGGCACCCCCGUGUCUAAGCACAUCGCCUUGCAAACAUGCAAGUUUUGUGUCACCUUUGGCACCCUCGUGCCUAGGCCCAUCGCCUUGCGACAUACAACUUUGUGCCUUCUACAACCUCUUAAACUUCGGCACCCUCGUGCCAAGUUCUUUCCCUUCCAAAUGUCUUUCUUACCUGGGGACUUGGGGGACUAUGGGCAGUGCACUAUACAGCUUGGAAGAUGAAUUAUGGUGUUGCUCGGCCAGUGCACUUAAAAUUACAAGUCCCCAUCCAAGAAGUACCUUCUUACUCGAGAACUUGGGGGGCUACUGUUUGUACCAUAACUGACCGAGCAACUAGCUAGGCUAGAUCAUUCGAGUGCCAUGCUUUGAGAGGUCAUCACCUUAGCCAAAGAAGCAUCACCACAAAUCACAACUCUAAGCAAAGCAAGAGGAGUCCCACAUCGGAAAACUACAAGAGAUGGAGACUCUCCCUCACCUAUAAAAGAAGACUACUCUCCUAUGAGAAAGGGACUCUCUCUUCUGGAUCCAUCUUUAUCCUAGGCUUCUCACCUGUUAUCUUUAUAUUUGGGUCUAAUCCCCUUGUACAAAUGUAAACAAACAUUAUCAUAAUGAGAACACUAUUCUCUGUGGACGUAGUCCAUCGUUCGAGUGAACCACGUAUAUCUUGUCUUCUAUAUGUUUAUCACUUACCCAAAUCCUCACACACUUGGUGAAGGUCCUCACCUUCAUCCAUCAUCUAUCACACCUCAUCACUAAGUUGGACUCAACCUUGGCCUAACUAUUUUGAGCAUCAACAGAGGUAAUGACCUAAUGCCUUGUUCAAGGGGCAUAACUUCUUCACGGGGUCACACCAUUUUCUUUGACUUCUGCAACUGAUGUUCCUUUCAGUUCAUCUUUUGUUCCAUUACAUUUCACCUCGUCUUUAGCAUUACAAGAUAUUUCCUUCUCUUCCUCUUCUUUCUCUACCUUUUAUUUUGCUUCUUCCUCUGCUUCUUGCUUGCUUCUUCCUCUGCCUUCACUCUUGCCUCCACCUUAGCAGCCUCAAAUCAAGCUCUUCAAACAAGAGUCUGCAUCCCCUGUAUCAGAUUUAGGCAUCAAAUUCUCAGCAACAUCAGCCGGGGUCAUAUUGAUUUCCCCCAACAAACGCUCGAUGGAUCCAAACGACUCAUGUGAUUCUACAUCCAAAUAAUUCCUGGCAAGCACUUUGAAUGCUUCAUCGGGUAGUCUUUAAAAUAAAAUAAAAUUUUAAAUAUACUAUAUGUAUUUUAAUAUGAUUUUAGUAGUCCACCCAAAUGCCUAGUAACCCACCAUUAUCCAUUUAACUUUAUAGGUCUAUAAUCAUCUUAUAUUUAAAUUGUUUGCUUAUUUAAGAAACAUAAUCUCUUAAUAAACAUUCGUAACUUUCUACAUUUUACUAUUUUCUCCCAUUGUUUCCUUCUUCAAUAUUCAAUGUUAACGGUCAUCAUAUCACUCUUUACAAUUAACUAACAGGGUUGAUAUAAUUUAAUGUAUACUUUUAUUUCUAAAAUUACUAUAUAUAAAAAAAUCAUUAGAUUUUAAGCCAAUAAGUUUAGCUACUCCACCCGUUGAAAAAUUUAUGAUUCCGCAUUGGCUUCGUAGCAACAAUAGGACAACUGAAUAUGCUUGUCCAUUCUUCCCCUUCUAAUGAAAGCAAGAUCGAGUUUGUCCACAUAGUUAGGGGUGAACACAAUCAGUCUCUCCUCUCCACAAGCUGACCAAAUCCCAUCAGUAAAGUUCAACAGCCCAGACAAAGUGACCUUGCUCGUUGUGGCUUCUUCUUCUUUAGGCCUUUUAGGAAUUGAGUCCUUUUCAUCUCCAUCUUUCUUCUCCUUCUCUUCCUUCUUUUUCUCUCGAUGUUCGGUAAGAUCAAGCGAGCAAUCAAUGUCCUUGAUCACGAUAAUCGCCUUGCCAGUUAUGGCGAUCAACAUCUUCCUCAGCUCAGUGUUGUCCUUGACAAUAGUUAAUUCGAGAUCAUAGACAUCAUAGUGUUGAAGAAUACACAUAGUCCCACAUCGAAAACUUAACAAAAUAGAAAGUCUCGUAUAAUGAAUGGCUCCACUCCUGAUAAUAUCGAGGCAUUGUGUAUAAAACCCCACACCUGCUAAACAGGUGGUUAAGUUGUGGACAAUAUCGAUGUUGCUGGGUCAAGGGUUUGUCCCUCUGAAAUUUUAACACAUAGUUCAUGAGGUUAGACAUGGCAAAGAUCAUGGUAGACUUGCCGGUGCCCAGUGGCUCGUAAAGGAGAUAUCCACGCUUCCCAGCCUUGCCAAUUUUCUUGUAGUAGUCUUUCCCUUUGCUGAACUUAAGGAGAUCAUUGAUGAUCGCUUGCUUCUCUUUUGGGUCCAUUGCCAAGGACUCAAAUGUUGCAGGGUGCUCAAACACCAUAUGGCUCCACUUAGCCUCCAAUCGUGGAUCCAAGAUGAGCAAACUUGUCUGCUGGAACCAUGUUUGCAACUUUGCCUAUUCUUUCUUGGCCUCUGUAUCUUCUUGUUUUUCUGAGAAGAUGUAUGUAUCUAUGUAUGUUACCAUUUAUAUACACGGGGGUGAAGAUUAUUUUAUUAUAUUUUAUUGGAAAAGGCCUUGGUGUGAGUCGGUAUUGAUUAUUCUGUGUGAAUACCAUCAAACAUUUCUGGUCCAAAAUUGACUGGUAGAUUUUGUCUCAAUGCCAGAAGUCGGCAAAGGCUGUGUGGAGACGUGGACUCGUUUUCUUGCUCGAUGGGUAAAUAAGCGAAAUGGAAAUUAUUUAUUCCGUGACAUCAUUAAUUAACAUCAUAUAACAAUGAUCUCACAAUCCUUUAGCUCAGCAUCAUACACAUUCUGUCUAAGCAGUUUCCUUUCAGUUUGAAUUAUAGUCAACGGAAAUUUGGAAAAGAAAAUGCCUCUUUGAUCUUAGGAGAUUCUCCAAUAAGUAUUUUAUGUUAAUGAUUACUUACAUAUUUCUAAUCUCGACCGUUAGAUUGAAGGUAUGUUGCAUAAAAACAUGUAACCAAUCCUUAACGUAAAUACUUAUUGGAGAAUAAUUCCUUCGAUCCCGAAGUAAAUCAUGAACCAAAACGUUUGCCAAGUAAGAAGGAAAUAUCAAUAAGUAGACACAGUAAAAAGAAGGAAAAAUCAGUUGUUGCAACUUAAGCUUAACAUGAAAUUAAAAAUGCAUAUAGACAGAAUAUUUUACAAGUCCAUUGAACGAUUCUUUUUACACAUAAACAAAAACACAGAUUGAUCAGGGCAGAUUGUUUUCUUAUUACAAUAUGUACAGAAAGGUUGAAAUUAUAUACAUACUUUCACUGGUUUCAUCUGAUGUUCCAUUCAUUUUGCAUCUUCCUCUUUAGCUGAUGUUCCGUUACAUUUCACUUCAUCUUUAGCAGGCUCCUGUUUCUCCUUCUCUUCUUUUUCUGCCUUCAGUUUUGCUUCUUCCUCUGCCUUCUUACUUGCUUCUUCUUCCUCAGCCAUCUUUCUUGCCUCCUCCUUUGCACUCUCAAGAGCUUCAAUAAAUUUCUUCAAGCAAGAGUCUGCAUCCUCUGUAACAGAGUUGGGCAUCAAAUUCUCUGCAACAUCAGCAGGAAUCAUAUUGGUUUCACCCAACAAACGCUCAAUGGUUUCGAACAAUUCAUGAGACUCUAAAUCCAAAUAGUUCUUGGCAAGCACUUUGAAUGCCUCAUAGCAGCAGUAGGACAACUCUAUGUGCUUGUCCAUCCUUCCUCUUCUUAUGAGAGCAGGAUCAAGUUUGUCCACAUAAUUAGUGGUAAACACAAUCAGUCUUUCCCCACCACAAGCUGACCAAAUCCCAUCAAUAAAGUUCAACAGCCCAGAAAGAGUAACCUUGCUUGGUUGGCUCUCUUCUUUUUCCAUCUUUUUCUUAACUGGAUCCUUUUCUUCAUUAUCCUCCUCAUCCUUCUCCUUUUUCUUCUUCCGCUGACCGGUAAGAUCGAGCGAGCAAUCAAUGUCCUCGAUCACGAUAAUAGACUUACUAGGCGUGUCAAUCAGUAGCUUCCUCAGCUCAGUGUUAUCCUUCACCGUCGUUAAUUCGAGAUCAUAGACGUCGUAGUCCAUGAGGUUCGACAUGGCUGCAAUCAUGGUAGACUUUCCAGUGCCUGGUGGCCCAUAAAGGAGAUAGCCGCGCUUCCAAGCCUUGCCAAUUUUCGC
rnacentral:lncRNA from 1 species